UACGAAGGGUGCUAGCGUUGUUCGGAAUUACUGGGCGUAAAGCGCGCGUAGGUGGCCAAGCAAGUCAGGGGUGAAAGCCCGGAGCUCAACUCCGGAAUUGCCUUUGAAACUGCAUGGCUAGAGUAUUGGAGGGGAUAGCGGAAUUCCUAAUGUAGAGGUGAAAUUCGUAGAUAUUAGGAGGAACACCGGUGGCGAAGGCGGCUAUCUGGACAAUAACUGACACUAAAGUGCGAAAGCGUGGGGAGCAAACAGG
rnacentral:misc_RNA from 1 species